rnacentral:rRNA from 1 species
GAUGAACGCUAGCGGGAGGCCUAACACAUGCAAGCCGAGCGGUAGAGUCUCUUCGGAGACUUGAGAGCGGCGCACGGGUGCGGAACACGUGUGCAACCUGCCUUUAUCUGGGGGAUAGCCUUUCGAAAGGAAGAUUAAUACCCCAUAAUAUACUGGAUGGCAUCAUCUGGUAUUGAAAACUCCGGUGGAUAGAGAUGGGCACGCGCAAGAUUAGAUAGUUGGUGAGGUAACGGCUCACCAAGUCAGCGAUCUUUAGGGGGCCUGAGAGGGUGAUCCCCCACACUGGUACUGAGACACGGACCAGGCUCCUACGGGAGGCAGCAGUGAGGAAUAUUGGACAAUGGGUGAGAGCCUGAUCCAGCCAUCCCGCGUGAAGGACGACGGCCCUAUGGGUUGUAAACUUCUUUUGUAUAGGGAUAAACCUAGAUACGUGUAUCUAGCUGAAGGUACUAUACGAAUAAGCACCGGCUAACUCCGUG